UGUAGGAGCGAGCCUGCUCGCGAUGACGGAAUGUCAGUCAACUUCGAUGUUGAAAGUUAGACCGCUAUCGCGAGCAGGCUCACUCCCACA
rnacentral:antisense_RNA from 1 species